UUGAGUGGGAAUAAAGAGCUAACUAAAUUUGAGUUGAGAAAGCCUAUUUUACCGCAUUUCUUGAAAUUAAAAAUGGAUAAAAACUACUAAAUACAACAUAGUUCCCUGCCAAAUUCCCUGCCAAGAAUUUUUCUUUGUAGGGAGUUUUU
rnacentral:sRNA from 1 species